UGGAGGAGGAGCCGCCCGGGAGGCUGUGCCAUCUCACAGGAGGAAGUGGAGGAGGGGAGUCGGCCUCCGACUGGGGCGAGCCGAGUGCACUUCCGUGCGCGCUGUCGCCUCGUCUCUCGAGAACCGGGCUCCUGUGCCGGGGCCUCAGACCCUCAGAGCUCCAGCGGCAGUGCUCCUGGACCAGGGCCUCGGGCCCAGCACCGGGAGGAUGGUCUGGAGUGGGUGAGGGGGGCGGUUGGAAGUGGUCAAGCAUCCCAACCCGCCCGCGUCCACCCGAGCGCCAAGAGCAGCCGGAUUGCGCCGGGAACUCCUGUGCGACUCAUAUUUAAAAAUAAGGAAAGUUUUAUCCGUUUCUUGUGUUUCUGCUACUUAAAAGCCUGGCAGGCUCUCACAAACGAAACUCUGUAAUUAACGUUUUCCUCCCCGCUCUAACCCACACACAAACACUGAACUUAAUUAUAAACUCCCAGAUUCCUAGCACAGCGUCUUCCAGGCGAGUUGUAUUCAAACUGAACUUCAGCGGUCCACGAAAGGAUGGGCUAAGAAUUGGCGGUAAUCGUUUUAAAUAACGUCAGACUAGUCGAAACCUUAUUCCUAGUUUGUUGCCUGAAGUCCUGUGAUUUCGAAUAACUAACUCGUGGCUUUACGACACUUGAGUAAAAAUAUUCUUUUAGAGUUAGAAGAAGGAAUAUGCACCUUGAGGCCCCUUGGGGCUUGCUUGCUGUGGUGUGUUCCACCCCGUCCAGGCCCCUGACAGCAGGACUGAGAAAGGAACCUUGACCUUUUCCUUUAUAUUCGCAUGUACUAGCACCUGGCCAGGCAUAUAGUAAGCAAUCAAUAAAAUGGUGACUGGGUGAAUGAAUGGAGAUGAAAACUUUGCCCAGAGGAAGUGGUUUCCCCAUAUUGUUUAUGACAUGCGAAAGAAUUUGGUGAACAGGACUGAGUAUAAAUGCAUUGUGUGGAUCCUAAAAACUUACUAGAACAGUAGUUUUGAACGUAACUAUUCCAACAUAACUAUUAAAACUCAAUUACAAUGCAUACUAAUCUAAUAGCUUUUAAUCCUGUGAAGGGAUGUGUAUAUAAAUUGAAAUGUCUAAUCUGAAUAUAUAGUACUUAAUUGCAUUAUAUAUUUUGACUUUCAAAUGUGAUGAAAAUAUAUGCAGCAAAACAUUAGGCAUGUUUUUACAAGCUAUGGUCCAGCACUUGCCUAAAAGAAAUUACUGUAUGGGACAUACAAUUCUACACAAAUACUGAAACAUAAAUACAAAUGUACCUUUCUCCUCAUCAUGUUCUCUGGCACAGGAAGAGGCCAUGGGUAUGUACACAUAUACCCAAAGGGUCAUUUGUGCUUUAAAAGACCUUAAAAGCCUGAGAACCAAUUAAUUCCCUUGGAAAUCCAUCCAGAUAGGGAGGGCAGAAGAGUGCCCUCUUCUAGACUCUGGCUGGGCCCAGUCAGCCCUCUCACUCCUCAAUUUCUGAUCCAGGACAGAGCUCCCACAGACUCGAAGAGUGGAGGGAAGAAGCGAGAAAACCAGGAAAAGGAAGAAGGCAAGGCACUGACAACACUCAUGGGCCCACUGAAAUAGUCCUUUUCAAACAAUCUUCUAGGGUUUGAAUAACACAUGAUGGAAGAUACCCUAGAAAACUGAGAUUCAAAGCACCAAAAUUGAAAUCACAACACAAAGUAAUUUUCAUACCUGUUAACAGAAGAACAGGCUCUCGUUCUGUGCCUGAAAAGAGUGGAGCACCUUGGGCAGGAAGCUUCGACUUGCUGAGGACUUCAAGACCAGGAGACAGAAUGUUCGGAGGGACUGCCCCAAAGAGCUCAGGCAAAGAAGGGCGCUGAAAAGGGUGAUUCUGCCUGUCAUCAAGGAGCCAGAGACCAAAGAAUACACCACCAACACUCCCAAGUGCAUCCGCAAAGUGGGCUUCAAGACACCUGGCCCUUGGGCACUCUUCAAGAUCCAGAAAUUUGCCUCGAAGGAGAUGGCAUCUCAGAUGUGUGCUUUGACACCAGGCUCAGCAAAGCUGUCUGGGGCAAAGGGAUAAGGAAUGUCCUGUAUUGCUUCCAUGUGUGGUUAUCCAGAAAACAUACUGAGGAUGAGGAGUCACCAAACAAACGUCGGAUACCUAUGUACCUGUCACUGCUGUCAAAAAUCUAUAGCCAAUGUAGUUGAGAACUAACAGCUAUUAUAAAAUAAAGUCAUAAAAAGCUUUGCUUUGUUGAGUGCACAGAUUCUUUACAGAAUUACAGAUUUUAUCAGUUAUAAAUUGUAUUCAGCUGCUGGUACUAGAGAACUGCAACACCAGCGCUUGAGCAAGAGAGUGUUUAUUUCUCCCACAGAAAAUAAGCGCAGAGCUGGCCAGGGAGUCCCACAGUCAUCAGGCACCCCAUCUCUUUCUAUUUAUCAUCUUCAAAGUUGACUAAAAGAGUUGCCAAUGCUCUGGCUCUCGGGUCCACAUCCCAGGCAGGAAGCAGAAGGAGAGAACAAAAAAAUGUGCAUGCGAAUGACAUGUCCUCUUUUGAAGGGGUGUUCCUAGAAGUGUUGCUGUUUUAGAAUUAAGUGGAGGCAAAAAGUAACAGAGGUGCAAAACAACAGUGGCUUAAAUGCAAUCAAAGUUUUUUUUUG